rnacentral:rRNA from 1 species
UGGUGGAGUGAUUUGUCUGGUUAAUUCCGUUAACGAACGAGACCUUAACCUGCUAACUAGUCGUCGUUACCAACCUAGCGAUUGACUUCUUAGAGGGACUUUAUGUGCAAGCAUAAGGAAGUUUGAGGCAAUAACA